rnacentral:rRNA from 1 species
GACGAACGCUGGCGGCGUGCUUAACACAUGCAAGUCGAACGAGGCCCUGCCUUCGGGCAGGUGACCUAGUGGCGAACGGGUGAGUAACACGUGGGCAACCUACCCUCAGCUCUGGGAUAACCCCGGGAACCGGAGCUAAUACCGGAUACGACCAGGAGCGACAUCGCUUCCUGGUGGAAAGUUUUUCGGCUGAGGAUGGGCCCGCGGCCUAUCAGCUUGUUGGUGGGGUAAAGGCCUACCAAGGCGACGACGGGUAGCCGGCCUGAGAGGGCGAACGGCCACACUGGGACUGAGACACGGCCCAGACUCCUACGGGAGGCAGCAGUGGGGAAUAUUGGACAAUGGGCGCAAGCCUGAUCCAGCCAUGCCGCGUGAGUGAUGAA